AUUGAACGCUGGCGGCAGGCCUAACACAUGCAAGUCGAACGAGUGGCGGACGGGUGAGUAAUGUCUGGGAAACUGCCCGAUGGAGGGGUAUAACUACUGGAAACGGUAGCUAAUACCGCAUACCCUCGGAUGUGCCCAGAUGGGAUUAGCUUGUAGGUGGGGUAACGGCUCACCUAGGCGACGAUCCCUCGCUGGUCGGAGAGGAUGACCAGACACACUGGAACUGAGACACGGUCCAGACUCCUACGGGAGGCAGCAGUGGGGAAUAUUGGACAAUGGGGGAAACCCUGAUCCAGCCAUCCCGCGUGUGCGAUGAAGGCCUUCGGGUUGUAAAGCACUUUUGGCGGGAAAGCGGUACCUGCAGAAUAAGCACCGGCUAACUACGUGCCAGCAGCCGCGGUAAUAC
rnacentral:rRNA from 1 species